rnacentral:rRNA from 1 species
UACGAAGGGUGCAAGCGUUAAUCGGAAUUACUGGGCGUAAAGGGUGCGUAGGCGGCUAUUUAAGUCUGCCGUGAAAUCCCCGGGCUCAACCUGGGAAUGGCGGUGGAUACUGGAUAGCUAGAGUGUGUCAGAGGAUGGUGGAAUUCCCGGUGUAGCGGUGAAAUGCGUAGAGAUCGGGAGGAACAUCAGUGGCGAAGGCGGCCAUCUGGGACAACACUGACGCUGAAGCACGAAAGCGUGGGGAGCAAACAGG